rnacentral:lncRNA from 1 species
GAGUUGGAGGCCAGUGGAGCAUUCCAUCUACUCCCCUCCCCCUCUCUAUAUUCACUGAGGACAUUCCUCCCUUCACCUGCCCCUCUGCUCAGCAGUCCAAUGGAAGUACUUCAUCUCUUUUGGGGGGUUCAAAAAUCAUUUGAUGUUGAUAAUGAAAGGAAGGAAGGAAGGAAGGAAGAAAAGAAAAGGAAGCAAAGAAAAUGCCCAUCAAUUUGGAAAUGGCUAUGCAAAUUGUGGUACAUGAAUGUAAAGAAAUGGAAUGAGAGCCAGGAGGAGACUGAUAUGAAGUGAUGCAGUGAAUUUUCAGGGCUAUAAAAACUUAGGACUUCCUAAUGUCACAUUCACUCAAGGGGUCAGUGUGGAGAUUGUUUACUACUCUUUUUGUUCCAUCAUGCUCAAUGUUUUUGAUCCCAUGGACUAUGGCUAUCCAUGAAGAUUUUUUUGGCAAGGAUAUUGCAGUGAUUUACCAUUUCCUUCUCCAGUGGAUCCAGUGGAACCUUUUUCCAGGUCUCCAAAGGCAUAUCUGGAAUUGGAGAUACAUAACAAGUUGCGGAGCUGCAUCAAUUUAAAGUUUUCCCUCUCACUCCUGAAAUUUGAACUAUACUUCCAGGACCUUUCCUCAUCCUUCUCCCAACAUUCCAUUGCAACAAUUGCUUCUGAAUGGGGCAAUAUGAAGGAGAGAGAGCAUCCUUUUCUCAUCCUGGAGUGGAACACAGAUUAGGGAAACUUAAAUGUAUAUUUCAAGACAAAAAAUAAAUUGAACCAACAACAGAUGAAACA